rnacentral:rRNA from 1 species
GUUAUAUGGUCAAGCGAAUAAGCGCACACGGUGGAUGCCUUGGCGGUCAGAGGCGAUGAAGGACGUGGCAGCCUGCGAAAAGUAUCGGGGAGCUGGCAACAAGCUUUGAUCCGGUAAUGUCCGAAUGGGGAAACCCACCCGCUUGCGGGUAUCCUGCAGUGAAUACAUAGCUGCUGGAAGCGAACCUGGUGAACUGAAAUAUCUAAGUAACCAGAGGAAAAGAAAUCAACCGAGAUUCCGUAAGUAGCGACGAGCGAACGCGGACUAGCCCUUAAGCUGGAUUGGUUCUAGGAAAACGCUCUGGAAAGAGCGGCCAUAGAAGGUGAUAGCCCUGUAUCUGAAAGGGCCAUUCCAGUGAAGACGAGUAGGGCGGGGCACGUGAAACCCUGUCUGAACAUGGGGGGACCAUCCUCCAAGGCUAAAUACUACUGACCGACCGAUAGUGAACCAGUACCGUGAGGGAAAGGCGAAAAGAACCCCGGAGAGGGGAGUGAAAUAGAACCUGAAACCGUGUGCGUACAAGCAGUAGGAGCUCCGCAAGGAGUGACUGCGUACCUUUUGUAUAAUGGGUCAGCGACUUACUGUUCGUGGCAAGCUUAACCGUAUAGGGGAGGCGAAGGGAAACCGAGUCUGAUAAGGGCGCAUAGUCGCGGGCAGUAGACCCGAAACCGGGUGAUCUAGUCAUGCCCAGGGUGAAGGUGCGGUAACACGCACUGGAGGCCCGAACCCACUCCCGUUGCAAAGGUAGGGGAUGAGGUGUGAUUAGGAGUGAAAAGCUAAUCGAACCCGGAGAUAGCUGGUUCUCCUCGAAAGCUAUUUAGGUAGCGCCUCAUAUGUAUCCUCUCGGGGGUAGAGCACUGUUAUGGCUAGGGGGUCAUCGCGACUUACCAAACCAUUGCAAACUCCGAAUACCGAGACGGACUGUAUGGGAGACACACGGCGGGUGCUAACGUCCGUCGUGAAAAGGGAAACAACCCAGACCCACAGCUAAGGUCCCAAAUUCACUGCUAAGUGGAAAACCAUGUGGAAAGGCACAGACAGCCAGGAGGUUGGCUUAGAAGCAGCCACCCUUUAAAGAAAGCGUAAUAGCUCACUGGUCGAGUCGGUCUGCGGGGAAGAUUUAACGGGGCUAAGCAGUGAACCGAAGCUUGGGGUGCAUAACUUUGUUAUGCGCGGUAGAGGAGCGUUCCGUAAGCCGUUGAAGGUGGAUUGAGAAGUCUGCUGGAGGUAUCGGAAGUGCGAAUGCUGACAUGAGUAACGAUAAUGCGGGUGAAAAACCCGCACGCCGAAAGCCCAAGGUUUCCUUGCGCAACGUUAAUCGGCGCAGGGUGAGUCGGCCCCUAAGGCGAGGACGAAAGUCGUAGUCGAUGGGAAGCAGGUUAAUAUUCCUGCACCUCGCGUAAGUGCGAUGGAGGGACGGAGAAGGUUAGGUGUACCAGGCGUUGGUUGUCCUGGGGAAAGGCGGUAGGUUUGGAUCUUUGGCAAAUCCGGGAUCCUUUAAGACCGAGCACCGAGACGAGCCUUUAUGGCGAAGUCACUGAUACCACGCUUCCAGGAAAAGCUCCUAAGCUUCAGCUUACGCAGACCGUACCGUAAACCGACACAGGUGGGUAGGAUGAGAAUUCUCAGGCGCUUGAGAGAACUCGGGUGAAGGAACUAGGCAACAUGGCACCGUAACUUCGGGAGAAGGUGCACCCUUUUUGGUGGCUCGUGCGAGCUAUAGCUGAAGAGGGUCGCAGUAACCAGGCCGCUGCGACUGUUUAUCAAAAACACAGCACUCUGCAAACACGAAAGUGGACGUAUAGGGUGUGACGCCUGCCCGGUGCUGGAAGGUUAAUUGAUGGGGUCAGCCGCAAGGCGAAGCUCUUGAUCGAAGCCCCAGUAAACGGCGGCCGUAACUAUAACGGUCCUAAGGUAGCGAAAUUCCUUGUCGGGU